rnacentral:rRNA from 1 species
CCCUUAGAUGCUCUGGGCCGCACGCGCGCUACACUGAUGAAUUCAACGAGCUCCUAACCUAGGCCGAAGGGUCCGGGUAAUCUUUGAAAUUUCAUCGUGAUGGGGAUAGAUUAUUGCAAUUAUUAAUCUUCAACGAGGAAUUCCUAGUAAGCGCGAGUCAUCAGCUCGCGUUGAUUACGUCCCUGCCCUUUGUACACACCGCCCGUCGCUCCUACCGAUUGAAUGGUCCGGUGAAAUGUUCGGACCGCGACAAGGCGGACGGUUCGCUGUCAGCUUUGCUGCGGGAAGUUCAUUAAACCUUAUCAUUUAGAGGAAGGAGAAGUCGUAACA